rnacentral:hammerhead_ribozyme from 1 species
AUCCAGCUGACGAGUCCCAAAUAGGACGAAGCGCGCAUCCUGGAU